rnacentral:rRNA from 1 species
ACUUACCAACCCGAUGCAAACUGCGAAUACCGGAGAAUGUUAUCACGGGAGACACACGGCGGGUGCUAACGUCCGUCGUGAAGAGGGAAACAACCCAGACCGCCAGCUAAGGUCCCAAAGUCAUGGUUAAGUGGGAAACGAUGUGGGAAGGCCCAGACAGCCAGGAUGUUGGCUUAGAAGCAGCCAUCAUUUAAAGAAAGCGUAAUAGCUCACUGGUCGAGUCGGCCUGCGCGGAAGAUGUAACGGGGCUAAACCAUGCACCGAAGCUGCGGCAGCGAUGCUUAUGCGUUGUUGGGUAGGGGAGCGUUCUGUAAGCCUGCGAAGGUGUGCUGUGAGGCAUGCUGGAGGUAUCAGAAGUGCGAAUGCUGACAUAAGUAACGAUAAAGCGGGUGAAAAGCCCGCUCGCCGGAAGACCAAGGGUUCCUGUCCAACGUUAAUCGGGGCAGGGUGAGUCGACCCCUAAGGCGAGGCCGAAAGGCGUAGUCGAUGGGAAACAGGUUAAUAUUCCUGUACUUGGUGUUACUGCGAAGGGGGGACGGAGAAGGCUAUGUUGGCCGGGCGACGGUUGUCCCGGUUUAAGCGUGUAGGCUGGUUUUCCAGGCAAAUCCGGAAAAUCAAGGCUGAGGCGUGAUGACGAGGCACUACGGUGCUGAAGCAACAAAUGCCCUGCUUCCAGGAAAAGCCUCUAAGCAUCAGGUAACAUCAAAUCGUACCCCAAACCGACACAGGUGGUCAGGUAGAGAAUACCAAGGCGCUUGAGAGAACUCGGGUGAAGGAACUAGGCAAAAUGGUGCCGUAACUUCGGGAGAAGGCACGCUGAUAUGUAGGUGAAGUCCCUUGCGGAUGGAGCUGAAAUCAGUCGAAGAUACCAGCUGGCUGCAACUGUUUAUUAAAAACACAGCACUGUGCAAACACGAAAGUGGACGUAUACGGUGUGACGCCUGCCCGGUGCCGGAAGGUUAAUUGAUGGGGUCAGCGCAAGCGAAGCUCUUGAUCGAAGCCCCGGUAAACGGCGGCCGUAACUAUAACGGUCCUAAGGUAGCGAAAUUCCUUGUCGGGUAAGUUCCGACCUGCACGAAUGGCGUAAUGAUGGCCAGGCUGUCUCCACCCGAGACUCAGUGAAAUUGAACUCGCUGUGAAGAUGCAGUGUACCCGCGGCAAGACGGAAAGACCCCGUGAACCUUUACUAUAGCUUGACACUGAACAUUGAGCCUUGAUGUGUAGGAUAGGUGGGAGGCUUUGAAGUGUGGACGCCAGUCUGCAUGGAGCCGGCCUUGAAAUACCACCCUUUAAUGUUUGAUGUUCUAACGUGGACCCGUGAUCCGGGUUGCGGACAGUGUCUGGUGGGUAGUUUGACUGGGGCGGUCUCCUCCUAAAGAGUAACGGAGGAGCACGAAGGUUGGCUAAUCCUGGUCGGACAUCAGGAGGUUAGUGCAAUGGCAUAAGCCAGCUUGACUGCGAGCGUGACGGCGCGAGCAGGUGCGAAAGCAGGUCAUAGUGAUCCGGUGGUUCUGAAUGGAAGGGCCAUCGCUCAACGGAUAAAAGGUACUCCGGGGAUAACAGGCUGAUACCGCCCAAGAGUUCAUAUCGACGGCGGUGUUUGGCACCUCGAUGUCGGCUCAUCACAUCCUGGGGCUGAAGUAGGUCCCAAGGGUAUGGCUGUUCGCCAUUUAAAGUGGUACGCGAGCUGGGUUUAGAACGUCGUGAGACAGUUCGGUCCCUAUCUGCCGUGGGCGCUGGAGAACUGAGGGGGGCUGCUCCUAGUACGAGAGGACCGGAGUGGACGCAUCACUGGUGUUCGGGUUGUCAUGCCAAUGGCACUGCCCGGUAGCUAAAUGCGGAAGAGAUAAGUGCUGAAAGCAUCUAAGCACGAAACUUGCCCCGAGAUGAGUUCUCCCUGACCCUUUAAGGGUCCUGAAGGAACGUUGAAGACGACGACGUUGAUAGGCCGGGUGUGUAAGCGCAGCGAUGCGUUGAGCUAACCGGUACUAAUGAACCGUGAG